rnacentral:rRNA from 1 species
AUUGAACGCUGGCGGCAGGCCUAACACAUGCAAGUCGAGCGAGCGGCGGACGGGUGAGUAAUAUCUGUGAAACUGCCUGAUGGAGGGGGAUAACUACUGGAAACGGUAGCUAAUACCGCAUACCAUCAGAUGUGCCCAGAUGGGAUUAGCUAGUAGGUGGGGUAACGGCUCACCUGGGCGACGCUCACUAGCUGGUCUGAGAGGAUGACCAACCACACUGUAACUGAGACACGGUCCAGACUCCUACGGGAGGGAGCAGUGGGGAAUAAUGCACAAUGGGCGCAAGCCUGAUGCAGCCAUGCCGCGUGUGUGAAGAAGGCCUUCGGGUUGUAAAGCACUUUCAGCGGGGAGGCGUUACCUGCAGAAGAAGCACCGGCUAACUCCGUGCCAGCAGCCGCGGUAAUAC